UACGUAGGUGGCAAGCGUUAUCCGGAAUUAUUGGGCGUAAAGAGUGAGCAGGCGGUUGUCUAAGUCCGAAGUCAAAUGCUGUGGCUUAACCACAGUUCGCUUCGGAAACUAGUCGACUAGAGUGCGAGAGAAGUUUGUGGAAUUCCAUGUGUAGCGGUGAAAUGCGUAGAUAUAUGGAGGAACACCAGUGGCGAAGGCGGCAAACUAGCUCGUAACUGACGCUCAUUCACGAAAGCGUGGGUAGCAAAUAGG
rnacentral:rRNA from 1 species